rnacentral:rRNA from 1 species
UACGUAGGGCGCAAGCGUUGUCCGGAAUUAUUGGGCGUAAAGCGCGUGUAGGCGGCAUGGCAAGUCGGGGGUGAAAGCCCUCAGCUUAACUGAGGAAGUGCGCCCGAAACUGCAGAGCUUGAGUGCCGGAGAGGAUGGCGGAAUUCCCCAAGUAGAGGUGAAAUUCGUAGAUAUGGGGAGGAACACCGGUGGCGAAGGCGGCCAUCUGGACGGUAACUGACGCUGAGACGCGAAAGCGUGGGGAGCAAACAGG